UACGUAGGUGGCAAGCGUUGUUCGGAUUUAUUGGGUUUAAAGGGUGCGUAGGCGGUCUAUUAAGUCAGUGGUGAAAUACGAUGGCUUAACUAUCGAGGUGCCAUUGAUACUGAUGGACUUGAGUGAACGCGAGGUAGGCGGAAUGGACGGUGUAGCGGUGAAAUGCAUAGAUAUCGUCCAGAACACCGAUAGUGAAGACAGCUUACCAGAGUUCAACUGACGCUGAGGCACGAAAGUGUGGGGAUCAAACAGG
rnacentral:rRNA from 1 species